GCAGAACGCGAAGAACCUUACCUACUCUUGACAUCUAGCGAAGAUUGCAGAGAUGCAGUUGUGCCUUCGGGAACGCUAAGACAGGUGCUGCAUGGCUGUCGUCAGCUCGUGUUGUGAAAUGUUGGGUUAAGUCCCGCAACGAGCGCAACCCUUAUCCUUAGUUGCCAGCACGUAAUGGUGGGAACUCUAGAGAGACUGCCGGUGAUAAACCGGAGGAAGGUGGGGACGACGUCAAGUCAUCAUGGCCCUUACGAGUAGGGCUACACACGUGCUACAAUGGUACGUACAGAGGGAGGCAAGCUGGCGACAGUGAGCGGAUCUCUUAAAGCGUAUCGUAGUCCGGAUCGCAGUCUGCAACUCGACUGCGUGAAGUCGGAAUCGCUAGUAAUCGCAAAUCAGAAUGUUGCGGUGAAUACGUUCCCGGGUCUUGUACACACCG
rnacentral:rRNA from 1 species